GACAACGCAAGUGAUUAUUGGUUGCGAAACGAAACCAUAUAAACUUUUUCAGUUACCAUUACGACUUACGAUUCGCUGUGACGUUUUUUAAUUCAUAAAGUAAAGUAAAAGUUUAAACAAAUCUAUAAAAUACAGUCGCGUGUCCUAGUUUGUAGGUGUAUUCGGCCUCUUUAUAAAUUGUGUCGCCUUUCAGUGUAUGUUUUGAACGAGUAAUUAAUACAAUGAAGCUUUGGCUUUUACUUUUACUGAAUAUCAUAAUUCUUAAUGAUCCAGUGAAAAGUGCAUUCAUAGCUGACAAUGGAGACGUUGAUGAACAGGGCCUGUAUAGUAAGUCGGACCAAGUUAUAAUAUUGACGAGUAAAAAUUUUGAUAGAAGAGUUUAUGGUCAAAAACAUUCGUUACUAGUGGAAUUUUACAACAGUUACUGUGGACAUUGUAGAGCUUUUGCUCCGAAAUUUAAGAGUCUCGCUGCAGAUAUAGUAUCAUGGAAGAAUGUUAUACAGUUAGCUGUUUUGGACUGUUCUGUGGAAGAAAAUAAUGAAAUUUGUAGACAAUUUGAAAUAAUGGCAUAUCCAUCGUUCCGAUACAUACAUGAGAAUUAUGUUAAAGGAAAUGCAAAUGUGGGUGAACGUUUUGAAUCUACGGAUUCUGCUGAAAAGUUAAAAGCUCAACUUAUUGUGAAACUGCAAACAGAGCAAAGUAUGGGCCGUUUAAGAUUUGCCCCAUCACUUGAUAUUGCAUCUUAUGCCUCAUAUACUUCAGCGCUAAGUGAUGUACCAAAUGAUGUGACCUAUACAUUCCUAGUAUUUGAAAAUGCUAAUUCAACAGUUGGUUCAGAACUUGCCUUGGAUACAGUGAACUACAAGCAAAUUAGAGUCAAAAGAGUCUUUGAUAAUUGUGAACUGGCAAAUAUAGCAGGUGUUACUCACUUCCCAGGUCUGGUUGCUGUUAGAGCAACAUUAGAACCCACACCAUUAACUCCAAAAGUUCCAACAAAAGUGAACUUGCUAAAAGCUGUUAAUACCUUCUUGAAAUCUAAGAACUAUGUAUUCCCUGUAUCAGAGACUAAUGCAAAAGAUAAUAGUUUAUACUCUAAUUCUGAAGAGAAACUGAAACUGUCCAGUUCUGAUGUAAUUUACUAUAGCGACUUGGAAAAAACUCUGAAGACAAUAUUCCAUACGGAAAUCACAAGACAUAAGACUUUAAAGGGAGAAGAACUACAAGCUCUCUUAAACUUUUUGGAUAUCCUCGUGAUUGCAUUUCCAUUCAAAGGUAAUCUUAAAAGUUACACAGAGGAUUUAUUACAAACUCUUCGAACAAGAAACGAAUGGGGUGGUAGUGAAGUUUACGACAUAGUAAAAAGUUUAGAAAAAACUCAUGCACCUGUGUACACUACAGAUUUGGAUUAUAUAGGGUGUAAAGGAAGCCAACCCAAGUACAGAGGGUACACAUGUGGUCUUUGGACAUUAUUCCACACUCUAACAGUGAACUCAGCAAACAAACCUGGAGUGCAAGGUCCUAAAGUUUUAACUGCCAUGCAUGGUUAUGUGAAACAUUUCUUUGGAUGUACAGAAUGUGCUGAGCACUUUCAAGCGAUGGCAACAAGAAAUCGACUUUUUAAUGUGAAGGAAAAUGAUAAAGCAAUACUCUGGUUAUGGAUUUCUCAUAAUGAAGUUAAUUUAAGAUUAGCUGGUGAUGUAACGGAAGAUCCAGAACAUCCUAAGAUUCAAUACCCGACUACUUCUAAAUGUCCCGAGUGCAGACUUUCAAGAGGUGCUUGGAAUUUGCCUGCAGUUUAUGAGUACCUGCAAAGGGUAUAUGGUGCAGAUAAUAUACAAGAGGGUCAGCGUGUUGCAAAAUCCAGUGCAGCAGCACCGAGCCCAUUCUCUGACUUGGACAUCGGAAUGUUAAGCCUCCUGUACUUAUUAUCUUUUACUAUUCUUAUUUUAGUUAUUAAAUUUUUCAUUUCUAAACGUUUCCACAGAAAACGUCACUACAAGCAUGGAUGGGCUAAAAUUUAACAUCAACUCUUCUUGAUACCACAAUGUGCAAUUACAUGUAAUUAAGCCUUACAGCACUCUGCUAUUUUCAUUUACAUGGGCACAACUUUUAUUCAGAGUGCUUAUUUAUCAUAGCUCAAUCAUUCCAUUAUUUGUAUAUUUUUAACACAUAGUGUAAGGUUCUAUGUAGAUAUUUCCAUAUGCGAGAUGAUUUUAUACCAAGGCAAAUUAUCACUCGCUUAAAGUUGUGAUGAUGACAAUAAGUAAUUUCAUCACAAUGCUUUGAUAAAAACUUUUAAUUUUUCAUACCAAUCCAAUAAUGAGUUAAAUCUUAUGGUAACAAUUUGAAACUUUUGUGUCUACUUCUCUUCUGUUCUCUAAUAACAAUGUAGUUAUGUUUGUUGUAAUGGUUAGAUAAUUUUCUUUACAAUGUUAUUACACAAGCGUUAUGUAGAAAAUCUGUACUACACAUUUAAAACAAUUAGAUUUGUUAUAUAAAAAGUCACAAACAUGAUAAGAAUCUUAGGUGUAUGGCUAAUUUAAAAACAAUUAGCUUAACAAGGAAUUGAAUAUGUUCCUGACAUAAUACUGCCAAAUGAUAGUGUAAGUUUAUUACAACGUCCAAUUAAUUAAAUAAAAGCGAUCACAAUGAGACAAACCUACAGCCAAAGUAACAGCCUAGUGCAUUCCAUUAGAAAAUAUGUAAGCCCUUUUUAGGGAACGGAAUUAAGACACUUGAUGAAACAGGGUCUAAGGCCCAGCAUUGCCUGGAGUGCAUUAACACAUUUAUCGAAUCAUCAGAUAACUUUAACUGUGUUGCUAUAUUUAAGGUAAUUUUUGUCAUCUAUACACUUGAAUAUUAUAAAAUUUUUGAGCCAUUCCUUAAAGUUUGCUUUACAUGAUGUUAUUUCUUAGUUAAACUUUAAUCGUAUAGUUUUUUAUUGCGCGAUCCCCUACUUAAUUUAAGCAUUAUUUCAAUUAGUUUUAAUGAAGUUUUAGAGCCAUUAUUACUUAGAGAUAUAAAAAUACAUUAAAAUUAUUAGUUGUUCUAUUUUAUGUGUAAAUUUGUAUAAUUUAUUAAAUGUACAGGAUUGUUUUAUAAAUAUUUAUGUAUGUCAGGUGACUAUUUAGUUAAACUGAGAUAGGUGUAACUGUGGGGUUCCACUGUCGAAGCAUUUGUGUAAAACAUAGUAUUAUAUUUGAAAAUACGAUAACAGUGUUUGCAAAUGCGAGUGUUCCGAUAGAGGAAUUUUCCUGUAAUUAAUGAUUUGUCAAUUUUGCAUAGACUGAUUUGACAUUGACGACUCGGUCAAGUAACUUAAAAUGGAAUCAUUUUGUAAAAGCAUGAUUUCAACUUAUUUCCCAAUAAUAGAUAUUUUAAAUUCUUCAAUACAUAACAAGAAUAGUAUUUGUUAGUAACACAGAUAUGUGUUUACAUGUGCCUUCAUGCCUGCAUUAGAUGUAGGUAAUAUUUAAAAAUUUAAACUGAUGUUAUCCUAUCAGGUCAAUAAACACUUUAUAUUGUAUUAACACAAUGUUAAAUCGCGCCUUUUUAUAGCAUUUUUUAUGUACUUGGAAAACUUUAUAUAUACAGUUUUAACCUAUUAAUAUUACAGUUACCAAAUGUUCAAGUGCCUUUGAAACAGACUUCAGAAAUACUACCAUUUGAGUAGUUUGAAUUUAGAAAACACUAUACUGCCAUAACUGUAUAGUGUAACUACAGAGUCAUUAUCUCAAUGUAAUAUCUAUUAGUUUUAUAAUAAGAUUGUGUUUUUAUUUAUUUAUUUGGUAUAUGUACUUCUAUAUGAAAUAGAUGACUUAUUAUCUUGCAUUUAAAGAAACUAAAAAUCUCAAAUGAAUUUUUGAAAUCCUAAUUGGUUAUAUGUUAAAGUUUUAUACGAUUGGAUCGAUUAUUGCAGUAGAAAUAAUAAUAGUUAAAAUACGAGAACAAGAAGUGUAUAAAAAUAAUGCAAGACAGAAUAAAAAUGUAGAAACAGUGCCUUUAAUAUUGUUGUAUUUAAACUGAUUAACUAUUUAGACCUAAGUCAAUAUUGCUAUGAAUAAACAAAAGAAGUUUAACAAAUGAUCUCGGUAUUAAGUUUUCAUAGAUUAUGGAAUUUUAACAAUUCGUUUUAAUCACCUCAAUCCACACCAAGUCGUCAAUAAAUAAUAAGUCUAUGCAUGUUAAUAAGCAAUAAUAUUUAAGUGUUAGUAAAAUAAUGUUGGAAACAAAGGUACUAAUAUAUAUAAAUAUUUUGAUAUACAUAUAUUUAAAGUGCAAUGUAUCACUAUAUUUGACCACACACACAUAUUUAGGCAGGAAUGCUGACAUUUUUUAGGACUACGAAUUAUAUUCUGUUCCAAAACAAGAUCUCUUUCGAACAAACAUUAUUCGUCGAGUUUAAACUGAACCAUAUUGUGAUACUUGACAUCUCUUUGAUUAAAUAGAGAUAACACAUUCGCAUUGUUUACGUUUUCCCACAAAUGUUUUAAUUAUGUGGAACAGUAAUUAUGAAUUGGUUUUUCAAUCUCAUGGCAAUGUGAAUAACAUUUUAGGAAUACACGAUUUUUGUAAGCGGAAAUGUAUUCCUCGUUUUUAAUUAGUUUUUUGAUUUGGAACAGUGUAUAAUACUAACAAAUAAAUGUUGAUAUAAAAAAUUGAUUUUAUAGUUACGCACAGAGUAGAUUGUUACACGGUAGGUUUAACGUAAAUCAAGGAAAACUAAAUUAUAUGUAUUUUAUACACUUGCUAUAUUCGAAUACCGAUUGUCUUCGUAGCAUUACUGAAGUCCACUGGAAAUGUGCCAAGCUGGCUGUUUGAGUCUUCGGAGAUUAUGAUAAUUUAUUUAUUCGUUUAUGUUAUUUCUAAUUUAUUAAUGCCUGCUCGAGACUCUGAUCUCGUUAUAUACACCCACUGAUGGUCACUUGACCAUGGAAAUAUCUAGUUCAAAGAUGAUCAGUUUAUACCUUGUGCAUUCCAUUUAUAAAUUUCUAAAAAUGUAAUCAACAAUCAUUUUAUCUUCUUUAUUUUGAUCAUGAACUAUGGAGUUGCAUUAUAUUCUAAGUAAUAUUUUCAUCCUCGACCUAGCCUUUGCACUACGGGGCUCGGCACAUUAUGUACUGCUGUUCCAUACAUCUCUCUCACCCGUUAUAUCUAAAUUCUCUCCCUUUUUAUCCAUGUCCUCUUUCAUACCAUCCAUCUAUACUCUCUUCGGUCUUCCUAUGCUUUUGUAGCCAUCCACAUUCAAUCUUAUUUCUUUCUUGUUAAUGUGAUUCUUAGUUAUAAAUUCAUUGAUAAUAAAUACGGUAGUGUAGUGCUACAAACAUCACAUUUAACGUACGGCAUUAACCCAGACUUAUUGGUAAUAAACACUAGAAAAUUGUUUUUAUUUAAAGUUAAAUUAAUGAUUAGUAUAUGACUUAAUUUUGUAAUGUUCAAUUAUUUUUGGUAUCAAAUAGUUUAAACAAAAGUGAAUCUUUCUUUACUUCCAUUUGGUUUCAAAGAAUUUACUUACGUUAUUCCAGACGUGUUUAUAUUUAUUGGAGUAUAAUGCGACGUCAGUGUCUUCAGUUGGACAAACCAAAUUAACGAGCCAUUGUUACUUUACGCCAGUAGCACACAGCUGCGAAUGCGAACCUAAACCGAAGCGAUUUUAUGUUUGAUAUGAAAUUGGCAUGUUUUUGGAUCAUUUCAUUGUAUUGUGUAACCUACGUUAUUAUAAAAUUCAAACUUUAUAGCGGCUCGUUUUUAGUGACGAGGUUUUAGUGAAUCUGCCCAGAAAUCGGAGCCACAUUAGUCUCAUUGUGAUUGGAGGUAAUUGUGCAGAUGCCCCGUCCCUGCUUUAAUUUUAGUUUUUACUGGAUUUUAUGCAACGUGUAAAAUUACGAGCCGCCAUUGUUUCAUUCCCCUCAGUUCCUGUUUUCCCGACUGUGUGCUACUAGUGUUAUUAUUUAAUGCGACAGUUAAAAAUAUUGCUAGAUCGUACGAUUUUAUUAAUUCUAAUAAUUUAUUUUUUUAAUUUUUAGGGCACUACGUUUAUAAGAAUGAUGCUUAAUGAAUUUGUAAUUUUUUUUUUAUGUUUAGGCGAAAGUUGUUGAAUUAAUCAUGUUAUAUUAAGUGGACUUUUAUUACUUAAUUUAGUAACUUGAAGGAACCUUUUUAUAGUUAUACUGUUUGAUAUAAAAAUAAUUUAAAACUUAGCCAAAUUAUCACAAGCUUCCAGGUAAUGUAAGUUGUAAAAUAAAUUUUAUAUAACCUUUAUACCUUUUUAUGUUUAGAAUAAAACGAUCAUAUAUGCUUUUUACAUUUUAAUAUUUAUAGUUACAUACGAAAUACAUGUUUUGAACUAACAUUUUAUAACCUGGGUAGGUGGUACCCAUGCAUUGAUUAUGCACUAAGUGAUAUUUUAAGGAAUUGAUUUUUUAAAAAGAGCACUACAAUUUUUACUUACAAAUGAUAGAAAUGGUAUUAAAUUUUAUACAUCAAAAUUGUUGAUUGUUUUAAUCAUUAGAUUUAUAAAUGUUUUUUAAAGUAAUAUGCAGCGUAUUGUUGCAGUCUGAUUUUCUGGCUGGGGAUGAAAUCGCCUCUAUAGGCUAAGGUACAUGGCUUAAAGUCUUCCUUGCGAAAUUGAACAAGUGUGAAGCCCGGUGUUAAAAAUAUAAUUAAAAUUCAUACUGAUUAUAAGGCUUAUUCAUUAGUAACGUAGUAGACUGAUCGACUCCGCAAUUAUAUCAGUACAACAAAUAUUUUCAAACAAAUUUUAUAACAACGAAUAUUGUAUGUAGUUGAUCUCAUCAUUGUAAUGUUUAAGGUCAAAAUGUAGUUGGUUUUCCUGAAUUGUAAUAUAAAACGGCAUAUUUACAAUUUCAUUCAUACUUAAGAAGUUAAAUAAAACCUUUGUUAUAA